AAAAUGCGAUAAGUAGUGUGAAUUGCAGAAUUCAGUGAAUCAUCGAAUCUUUGAACGCACAUUGCGCCCCUUGGUAUUCCAUGGGGCAUGCCUGUUCGAGCGUCAUUGACACCCUCAAGCUUUGCUUGGUGUUGGGCCGUUGUCGUUUCCUCGCUCCCCAGCGACGCAGCGACACCCCUCAAAGUCAUUGGCGGCCUUUCUGCCCGGCUUCUCGCGCAGCACAUUGCGCUUCUCGAGGCUGCGGCGGCCCGCGUCCAACAAGCUGAACCCCCCCGUCUUUGACCUCGGAUCAGGUAGGGAUACCCGCUGAACUUAAGC
rnacentral:misc_RNA from 1 species